CUUUUGGCUCCUCUAGUGAAAGAUCCCACGCAGAGAGACCCUUACUCAAGUCUUGGGAAAUCGCCGACCCCAGACACAGAGAGACCA
rnacentral:pre_miRNA from 14 species